rnacentral:rRNA from 1 species
AUGUGGUUUAAUUCGAAGCAACGCGAAGAACCUUACCAGGUCUUGACAUCCAACUAACGAAGUAGAGAUACAUUAGGUGCCCUUCGGGGAAAGUUGAGACAGGUGGUGCAUGGUUGUCGUCAGCUCGUGUCGUGAGAUGUUGGGUUAAGUCCCGCAACGAGCGCAACCCUUGCUAUUAGUUGCUACGCAAGAGCACUCUAAUAGGACUGCCG